rnacentral:rRNA from 1 species
UACGAAGGGGGCUAGCGUUGUUCGGAAUUACUGGGCGUAAAGGGAGCGUAGGCGGGUUUUUAAGUCAGGUGUUUAAUCCCGGGGCCCAACCCCGGACAGGCACUUGAAACUGGGAAUCUUGAAUAGUGGAGAGGUCAGUGGAAUUGGGGGUGUAGCGGUGGAAUGCGUAGAGAUCCCCAAGAACACCCGUUGCGAAGGCGGCUGACUGGACACAUAUUGACGCUGAGGCUCGAAAGCAUGGGGAGCAAACAGGG